UCCGAGUUGACCCCGGCAGUCUCCCAUGAGUCCCCGGCAUAACCCGCUGGCAACAUGGGACAAGGGUUGCGCUCGUUGCGGGACUUAACCCAACAUCUCACGACACGAGCUGACGACAACCAUGCACCACCUGUGCAGGACCCUUGCGGACCCCGUAUCUCUACGAGAUUUCCCUGCAUGUCGAGCCUUGGUAAGGUUCUUCGCGUUGCGUCGAAUUAAGCCACAUGCUCCGCCGCUUGUGCGGGCCCCCGUCAAUUCCUUUGAGUUUUAGCCUUGCGGCCGUACUCCCCAGGCGGAUGACUUAACGCGUUAGCUGCGCCACCGAAACGCUAAGCGCUCCGACGGCUAGUCAUCAUCGUUUACGGCGUGGACUAC
rnacentral:misc_RNA from 1 species